UGGCGGUUUAGCUCAGUUGGUUAGAGCGACGGAAUCAUAAUCCGCAGGUCCGGGGUUCAAAUCCCUGAACCGCCAU
rnacentral:tRNA from 1 species